CCUACGGGAGGCAGCAGUGAGGAAUAUUGGUCAAUGGCCGUAAGGCUGAACCAGCCAAGUCGCGUGCAGGAAGAAGGAUCUAUGGGUUGUAAACUGCUUUUAUACGGGAAUAAAGGUAUUCACGUGUGGAUAUUUGCAUGUACCCUAUGAAUAAGCAUCGGCUAACUCCGUGCCAGCAGCCGCGGUAAUACGGAGGAUGCGAGCGUUAUCCGGAUUUAUUGGGUUUAAAGGGUGCGUAGGUUGUUUUUUAAGUCAGCGGUGAAAGUUUGUGGCUCAACCAGGAACUUGCCGUUGAAACUGGCAGACUUGAGUGUGUUUGAGGUAGGCGGAAUGCGUGGUGUAGCGGUGAAAUGCAUAGAUAUCACGAAGAACCCCGAUUGCGAAGGCAGCUUACUAAGCCAUAACUGACACUGAAGCACGAAAGCGUGGGGAUCAAACAGGAUUAGAUACCCGAGUAGUC
rnacentral:rRNA from 1 species